rnacentral:rRNA from 1 species
GACGAACGCUGGCGGCGUGCUUAACACAUGCAAGUCGAGCGGUAAGGCCCUUUCGGGGGUACACGAGCGGCGAACGGGUGAGUAACACGUGGGUGACCUGCCCUCAGCUCUGGGAUAAGCCUGGGAAACCGGGUCUAAUACUGGAUAUGACUCCAUGACGCAUGGUUGUGGGGUGGAAAGCCUUGUGCGGCUGAGGAUGGGCCCGCGGCCUAUCAGCUUGUUGGUGGGGUGANGGCCUACCAAGGCGACGACGGGUAGCCGGCCUGAGAGGGCGACCGGCCACACUGGGACUGAGACACGGCCCAGACUCCUACGGGAGGCAGCAGUGGGGAAUCUUGCGCAAUGGGCGAAAGCCUGACGCAGCGACGCCGCGUGAGGGAUGACGGCCUCGG